rnacentral:lncRNA from 1 species
UGUUCUAACCGAAGAGACUGGACACAGUUCCCUGUGAGGUAUAGCAGGACCUCAUUACUUACCCAUUCUAAAUGUAAUAGUUUGCAUCUACCAACCCCCAACUUCCUCUCUCUCUUGGCAAACACAAGUCUGCUCUCCCUGUCUGUGAUCUGUUUCUGUUUUGUAGAUAAGAUAGUUUGUGCCAUAUUUUAGAUUCCACAUACAAGUGAUAUCAUAUGGUAUUUGUCUUUCUCUUUCUGAUGAAUUAAAGACUCUUCCCUGGGGCAACACCUGAAAAUAUUAGGACUCAGGUGGAUGAGAAGUGGGAGAGGGACUUUAUUUGGCUUUAGUCUGAAUUUCUAUUCUGUGAGUUAUUGUGGUUCUUUAUUAAGCCAGCCUGUUGGCUUGAGGCUUGUAAUAUCUCCAGUUCUCAAUGACUUUAUUUCAUAUACAUUUCAUAUAUUUAAAAUGUGCCCUUUGAACACAUUAUUAUGAAAUGUUAUAUGAAAAUGUCAAUCUCCCAAUAAAAAGAAAAGAAGGUUUCAGCUUUGUGUCUGGGAAGAUGACUCAGUGACUUGGAGAGAAAUCUGCUGCUGUGCAAACAAAUAUAGUUAUGAAAGGACAGGCUGCCAUCAUAUCUCCUCUCCCCUAGGAAGAAACCUUCCUAUUUCCUAUAGGAUACAGUGACAACUUUAUAAAUCUGUGCAAUGUUCUGGAAAAAGGCAGAAAUAUGCAGCCAGCAGGUUUUCUUUAAAAGGGACCACUGCUUAUGUGGAGAAGGAAGCUGCCAUGUUGGUUGGAGUUUGAAAUGAGUCAUCAUCAUCUGUCAACACUGAAAAUCAGAGGAUGCUGUUGCUUUAUCACUUUCUGAACUAUGCAGCUAGCUAGGUAGCGUGUAAGUGGUAAUGGGGAAACUUCUUUAAGGGGAAGGGAAUGGAGACAGUGAAGGGACUUCCGUGGCUCCCCUGGCCCCUUUCCCCUCCCCCAGUUAGUUCCAUUUUCCCUGAGCACUCGGAUGUCCUCGACAGUCACCCCACCAUACACACACUUUUACUCAGCCUAGGAAACCCCAAGCCAAAGAAUUCCUAAAAGUUCUCUUCCCGUUGAAACUGGGUCCAGCACCCAUGGAGCCUUGGGUUAUGUCACGUGAUUACAAAGAAUGUCAAACCCCUUCCAAGCCAAUUGCCUCUCUCCACUGGAGUAGGUCACUGACUUCUCAGGAACAAUCUGCCUUUGGCUGGAUAGCACACAACAGCCACCAAUGAAUCAGCUUGUCCAUGGUUUGCAAAGGACAAUGCUGAAGGUCAUUGGGCUUGGAAUUGACCCUUCUGCCGGCUUCAUCACCCUCACUCACCGUGAUCACUCAGGAUCCUACUUCUGUCAUCUCAAAGACUUCACGGGCUCUAAAAGGGACCACUGCUUGUGUGGAGAAUGAGGCCUGCAUGUUUUUUGACAUCGAAAGGAACCAUCAUUAUCUAUCAACACUGAACGUUAAGGGAUGUUGCUGCUUGACUGAACCUGGCAGUACAAUAAAAAUGAAAAAAGAAGCAAGUUAUUUGCAUCACUGGAAUAUGGUUAAUGUUGUCAACAUAUGCUUUUUUAGAAGGUUGCUGCAAAUCAAUGCUUCUUGGUGUCAGAUAUUUAUAAGGAUGAUUUGUAUUUAUCGAAAACCUACCAUAUGUCAGAUAUGCUGCUUGGCAUUUGGUAUGCUUGAUUGUACAAGAUCAUGGCUUCCUUCCUAAGGAUUUAUAUGUUGCUUUCACUUGAACAGAUGAGAAAACUGUAGCUCAGGGAAGUUGGGUCAGGCCACUAGUAGAUCCUCACGCAGACAGUUUUGCUCCGUAAUCCACUAUUUCCAUAAGAUGCUCCCCACUUUUAAGAUGAGGAAUGCUGAUGAAAAACUGUGAACAGUCAUUUACCACCAGUCAGGGGGUGAGGUUGGGGUAGUAUUUUGUUUUGCUGUAGAUAAAGAAUUGGCUUAAUAAGAAAUAAAAAGUAGAGGAAAAUAUUUGCUUCUCCAGAUGGAAAAAUGUUACGAGUUUAUAUUUAAUAGUUUUAUAAGUGACUUGGAUCAGAGGGUACACAGUGAGAUCUCCAGAAUUAAAGAUGGAAGUGAAAUGUCAAACUGACAGGGAUAAACCAUAGUAAAAUCUCAUGAGGUUUCAUGAGUGGGUAGAGAAAUAGCAAAUGAGCUCUAGCGUGGGCAAGUGUAAGGCAAUAUAUUCAGGGAAAAUAAUAUAAACUUUGCUUAUGAUACCUCUUGGUUUCCGUAUAAGAAAAGAAGCUUAUAUCGGUAUAAAAUAUUAUAAAAUAUGUAAUAUUUCAUAUUUUAGUAAUCAGGGGAAAUGGCAGUAACUAGGCGGAGGGGAAAGACAUGAGAGAAGUGGGCCAGGGGAGCCAAGGGGAGUCCCCUCACUGUCUCCAUGGAAACAUAUAUGUUUUUGAUCUGUUAUUUUUAAAUAUAUUUUACUGAAGUAGUUGAUUUACAAUGUGUUAAUUUCUGUUGUACAGCAAAGUGAUUCAGUUAUACAUAUAUACUUUUUAAUAUUCUUUUCCAUUAUGGUUUAUCACAGGAUACUGAAUAUAAUUCUCUGUGCUAUACAGUAGGACCUGGCUGUUUCUCAUUCUAUAUAUACUAGUUUGCAUCUGCUAAUCCCAAACUUCCAAUCCAUCCCUCCCCCCCUGCUUGGCAACCACCAGUCUGUUCUCUAUGUCUCUGUUGACUGUUAUUUUUUGACCUUCAUAGGGAAACAGGGAGAAAACUCAAUUGUUAAUAAUAUCAUUUUAUAGGGAAAAGAAAGACCUAGGUAGCCACAGGGACUUCCCAAGGUUGCUCUGGUAGUUAAUAAAUAAACUCUAACUAGAAACCAUUACUGCAGAACCCCAGCCCACGCCCUUCCUCCUCCUUGGCUACUUCUGUAGGAUCACAAAGCCAGUAAUGUCAGAUUGCCAGACUAUCAUCAGGAGACAUCCUCUUAUCCCUACCAUAUCAAGGUCAAGAGCUCUGGUUUGGACUCAGAUAUACCUGGAUUCUAUAUGCAUUUCACUACUUGCUAGAAUAUGUGUCACAGAAGAGAUUAUUUAAACUCUAAAGAGUGUUAAUUUUUCUUGUAUGAAAUGGAGAUACAGAAUAGCACCAACCUCAUAGAAGCAUUUUAAGAAUUAAAUAAGAGAGGGGAUGAAAAUGCUAGCACAAUGCCUGGCAUAUAAGUGUUUAAUGAAUGUUUUAUUGUCAUCGGUGGACAGGAAGGUGCAGUGAACUCAUGCUUUGAGCUCCUCUGUGCUCUCCAAGCACAUAGCAAUGAUUGUUGAAAAAAGAAAAAGGUGAGUAAUCACAGCUUCCUAAACAUUCAGCAUAAACCUCCCUGAGAUCAGAAAUGCUACAACAAUGCAAACAGUGGUUAGACUAGAGACGUGGGCCUGCUGAGUUCUCUGGGAUAGGGUGGGGGGCAGGCUGGACCAGGGGCAGG